rnacentral:tRNA from 1 species
GGGGCAGUACCUCAGUGGUAGAGCCCCCGCUUCCCAUGCGGGAAGACCCGCGUUCGAUUCGCGGCUUCUUCC